ACGAUUUUCUUUAUUUUCUUUCUCCUUACUGGAAUUUGAUCCAGAAAACUGACGGACUGCAGCACAGGCUCAUUUCCACUGGCAUUCCUCAAGGCUUGUAUUUUUCUGAUAUUCAAAGUCAUGACUGUGAUGUUGGAGAAUCAUUUUCAUUGAAAUGGGUAGAGGAUUUCAAAGCAUUGUCAAAGAUGUGGCAAGUUUUUGAUAUGGGGUAUGGUUCAGUUGUAUACAUCCCUUGUUGCAGCAGGAACAUACCCUUAAUGCUCAGGAAGCUUUCUCUAUUAGUUUGCAGAUUCUACUCCUAUCUGAUUAGGACUAUAGAAAACCAUAUCUUGUUGGCAGAUUAUGAAAGUAGUAAUAGCAUUCCCUGGAACGGUCUUACAACAGCCUUUCAUGUCUACUGACUUUGAUCACAAAAUCUCAUUCAGUGUUUAUUUCCAGAUUUCCAGAUGUUACUAGGCAUUUUGGAUUAAGAUUAUUAUAGUAUGGGAGUGAAUGGAUUGUUUAAGUAGUCUGUAACAUUCUAAAUGUUCCAUUCACUGGAGCAUAUAUAAUAAUGGGCUUUUAAUGGUUUAGACUAA